rnacentral:lncRNA from 14 species
AUAAAAGCUGAUUUAAGGAUGUGAUAACCCUGUGUGCAUUACUUCCUCCAAUAGAAGUGUGUUGAAAGCAUGGUAAAUGACAAAACCUCACACACUUGAUUGUGUGCAUUGAGGCCUUAUGUGUGUGCAGUUGGAUAAUAGUAAUGAUUUCUUCAUUCACAGAGGUUGGCUUUCAGCUGAACCCAUUGAUGGAUGGCAAGUGCCUGAAUGAGAACAAAGCAGACCUUGUCAAGCCAGUCCCUUCCCUCUGUGCCACUGAACUGGAGCUACUCUUGGAGAUUUCUUACCAGAUGCACUUCCUGGCCUUGUGUUUGAUACAGCAAGAGAAGAUGUGGUCUGUGGACGAGCGUACCGAGGAAGCUGCUUAUGGUAAGUAGGUGGAAGUAGAGAUAAUAACAGUGCAUUCAGCUGGAACUUCAGCACUGAGGCAAGCAUGUGUCUUGUUGAUCUGCUUUGAAAGCUCAGGGCAAAGGCACUACCUUGUCCAGCAGCACAAUCACUUCUUUUGAAGUCAUUGACUCUUCAGAGGUUUGCUCCAUCUGAAGCAUUGUCUGCUGUUUUGCACUGCCUUUCUUUGGUAUCACAGUGUCCUUGGAUAGGUUGCUUCCUUAUAAAUGUAAUGGUGUUUGCUUUGCUUCCUUAUACAUGUAAUGGUGUUUGCUUUGGUUGCUUCCUUAUAAAUGUAAUGGUGUUUGCUUUGGUUGCUUCCUUAUAAAUGUAAUGGUGUUUGCUUUGCUUCCUUAUAAAUGUAAUGGUGUUUGCUUUGGUUGCUUCCUUAUAAAUGUAAUGGUGUUUGCUUUGCUUCCUUAUAAAUGUAAUGGUGUUUGCUUUGGUUGCUUCCUUAUAAAAUGUAAUGGUGUUUGCUUUGGAACAGUCAGACAAGCUUAGCUCCUGUUGGGCCAAGCUUUUGCAUCUUUAGAAGUCAGCUGAGCUGUGAAUUGUUCUCUGAUCUCAUUGCAGCAUCUGGUUGUGCUGCCGGUCAGCACACAAAGAACAGGUCCCUUUUCCAGCUACACCAGCAAGUCUUUUAGCACAGCAGGUAGCUGUGGAGCAGGAGAAAAUGAACAUGGGCUUUGGUGCGUGAACAGCUCGUGGGGAAUGGGUAGAAGAAAGGUUGUGUUGGGAGUAAAUGUUGGCCUCUGCAAAGCUGAGAAAUGUCCAGGUUUUUGCUGCGAUACUGAACCUGUUUCUCUUUAGGCUGAUCUAUUUAGCUUGAAUCCAUGUGGGUAACUCUGUGCAUGUUUAGCAGGUGGAUGGUGCUGACUCAAGGAA